UUGCUGUGGCGCGAACAAAACGUGACGUCACUUGCAAGGGGUGAAUAUUGGCCGUUUUCAACACCUUUACCGUGCGAGAGAGAUGGCUUUCUCCAAUGCAACCCACAUGCGUUUCACAGGACUCUUUCGGAUUUGGCCUUUCAAUCCAAGGGCGACAUAUUGGACGCUUUCAGUAAAAGCGCGGACAAUUUGCUUUUGUUUUAAAUUACCCAGUAACCUUAAUUUAAACAUGAAUGUGUGCUUUUUAGGCUUAGCCAAAAAACACAAUAAUUCAACACCUGUAUCGUGCGAGAGGGACGCUCAUGGCCCCCGUUUCACAUGACGCGUUCGGUACGUGUCCAUUAUCGCGGCAAAGCCCACCGCGCCGCACAUAGCCCAUUAAUUUCCUAUGGAGAGCGCAGUUAACGCGUCCGCUAUGCAUCUCGGGAAGGCGGCGCGGCGGUGCGUCGAGAGGUUGGGCUCUGCUCUGCUGAGCUUCAUGCAAAUGAGAGCGGUUAACGCGGUCUACCGGUCCGCCUGCCAGAAAUAUUUGUUCCGCAAGUUGGCCACUGCACCCUAUCAAAAAGACCUUGUUUGCGACUUGAACCAAGACAGAAGGUGCUUUGGAGGAACAUGUCAGUGAUAUUUGUAAGUGUUUCAAUAAAAUAAUUCCUUGCAUUGGUUAACAGUAUUACGUACUGCUUACUUAGCUUACGUCUUAAGUAAGCUACCUCCACUUUAGCACGUUAGCAGGCAUUGUGUAAUUAGAUAAAAUAAAAUGUUACACCUUACACUUUAGCUGACUACACUACGUGGUAAUGAGUAAAUAAUCAUUCUUCACAUUAGGUUCAAGUAUCACAAUUAGUGGCCUCCUGCUACAAUUCAUGUUUUAAACUUUCUCCAAUUGUGUGUUAUGUUUGCCAUGAAAUUGCUUAGCUGCAGGCCAGUUUCAUAUUAUUUUAGGGUCUUCGUGUAGCCAGUACAAUUACAUUUCUGUGUCCAUAAUAUUGCAUUUCUGUACGAAAGUGCAGUAGAAAGUGCAACGUCCCAGGUAGGCUACUGUAUUUUCCUGCAUAUGAACUGUAAAUAAUGGAGUUAUAUUUUGUAUUUGAAUGUUUACCUAAUGUUUUAGACAAACUGAAAAAUCUAUCAUCUCACAUAGUUUACAUUAGUCAUAACUUCUCACAAACAGAUAUGUUUAUGGAUGGAUUUUAUCUAUCUAUCUGUCUAUCUAUCUAUCUAUCUAUGUGUGUGUGUGUGUGUGUGUGUGUGUGUUAUCCCUGGAGUACCUGAGCUACAUUUCUCAAAGUGAACCCUCAUACAAAGACCCUACUGAGUACUACGCAGAGGUGCCUGGCAGUACAGCUACAAGGCCAACCUCAGCAUAGAUGAGUCCAGAAUCCACGCCCCUUAGUGCUGGAGUACUUGAGCUGCAUCUUUGAAAGUGAGCACUCGUGCAGUAGUCUAACACAUAGUGCAAUGCAGUAUUUCCAUGUCGCAGGUACUGUAUCCUGCAUAUGAACUGCAAAUAUUUUUCCAAAACUACAAUGCUGACACUUGAGAAACAUGCUGUAAGGUCAGACGGUCCUCCUACCCCCAAUUUCCUGUCCUAAUCCCAAAACUUUGUUUGGUCUAUAUUCCGUCAUUGGCCCUUGUAUUGCUGUAAAGUACUGGAGUACUUGAGCUACAUUUCUGGAAGUGAACACUUGUGCAGAGACACUACUAUGCAGAGGCUUGGAAGAAGUUGCACGGUCAAACCAAACAUAGGUGAUUACAGAAUUCACCCCAGCAUAGAAUAGUUAGAUUCCACUCCACCAUAGAUGAGUAUAGGGUCAACCACACCAUAGGUGAGUUAGAAUCCACCCCAGAAUUGGUGAGUUACUGUAGUGUCCAGCACAUCACAGGUGAGUUACAGUCCAGCCCAGCAUUAACAUUACAUAGUGUGGAUGAGCAUGUCUUGUAGCUUGAGUAUGUAGCAUAGGUUCUUUGAUAGGGCAAUCAUUUUGUUGGCAGAAUGCGUUCUGUGAAGUAGGGCCUUUACGGAUCUCACGGCAUGCAUUAUUAUGCUAUGAGCUAGUUUGUUGAUUGGCUGGUUACAGUACAUACUGUACUACAAAGGAGAAUGGUGGAGAAAGGUGGGACAUAGGUCAUACUUCAUGUUUUUUAGCCAAAGACCAAACAAUACACACCUCCCGCAGUACACCCUGAUUAUCUCCACAUAAUGUUAUAUAAUCAGUAACCAUGGUAUUAAGCUGCAACAGGUGCUGCUGGCCAGUGGAUCUAAAUUUUUUUGUCAUGAUAACCUGUUUUUUUGUAAAUAACACAAUAGAUUAUGGCUUAUUCCAAGGAAGGCACACACUGAUCAAUACAUACUUAUCUUAAGGGACACAAAGAUAGGAAGGACUCCAUCCACUAAUAUUGGACAUACAGUAUGGUGUCAUUGUCUUGUGUAUCCAUCCAAUGCAAAGCUAGAUUAAUAUGCAAUACUUGCAAUCAUUUCUUAUGCCAUGUGAAAUGAUUUGGUUAAAGUUGAAAACCACACUCGUAUGCAUUAGCUCUUGCAAAAAUAUUUAAUGGAGCAUGUCUACAACAGACGCGUAUGGGCCCUAGGCCAUGCUGGGGCCGAUACGCUGAUGAUGGCCUAGAGCCGAAACGUGUCCGUUUGUAGACAUGGCUUUAAAAAAAAUUUUUUCAUGUCUUUCUUUGAACUCACACCCAAAGAUGUCUUUUAUUUUUUGGAGUUGAGCACGCCUGUUCCUAUGUAUCUUUUUGUUUUUUUGGUACCUUUGCUCAUGCUACCAUGUGUUAGUUUUGUGUAGUGCUGAAUGUAUUCGUGAAGCUGAACACCUUUGCUGUGUUUUAUCUGUAUGGAAGAAUCCCCUGGUUAAAGAAAUCACACCUUUUAAUUGACCUUGAUACAUAAAUAUAUGUUGUGCUGAAAUAAAGCAAUUUCACUGCUGGGCUCA